UACGAAGGGGGCUAGCGUUGUUCGGAAUUACUGGGCGUAAAGCGCACGUAGGCGGAUUGUUAAGUUAGGGGUGAAAUCCCAGGGCUCAACCCUGGAACUGUCUUUAAUACUGGCAAUCUCGAGUCCGAGAGAGGUGAGUGGAAUUCCGAGUGUAGAGGUGAAAUUCGUAGAUAUUCGGAGGAACACCAGUGGCGAAGGCGGCUCACUGGCUCGGUACUGACGCUGAGGUGCGAAAGCGUGGGGAGCAAACAGG
rnacentral:rRNA from 1 species